rnacentral:rRNA from 1 species
CGGACGGGUGAGUAACGCGUGGAAAACCUGCCGUAUACUGGGGGAUAACACUUAGAAAUAGGUGCUAAUGCCGCAUAAGCGCACAGCUUCGCAUGAAGCGGUGUGAAAAACUCUGGUGGUAUACGAUGGUUCCGCGUCUGAUUAGCUAGUUGGUGGGGUAAUGGCCUACCAAGGCAACGAUCAGUAGCCGGCCUGAGAGGGUGAACGGCCACAUUGGGACUGAGACACGGCCCAAACUCCUACGGGAGGCAGCAG